GGGACACGUGGUAUCCUGUCUGAAUAUGGGGGGACCAUCCUCCAAGGCUAAAUACUCCUGACUGACCGAUAGUGAACCAGUACCGUGAGGGAAAGGCGAAAAGAACCCCGGCGAGGGGAGUGAAAAAGAACCUGAAACCGUGUACGUACAAGCAGUGGGAGCCUCUUUUAUGGGGUGACUGCGUACCUUUUGUAUAAUGGGUCAGCGACUUAUAUUCUGUAGCAAGGUUAACCGAAUAGGGGAGCCGAAGGGAAACCGAGUCUUAACUGGGCGUUAAGUUGCAGGGUAUAGACCCGAAACCCGGUGAUCUAGCCAUGGGCAGGUUGAAGGUUGGGUAACACUAACUGGAGGACCGAACCGACUAAUGUUGAAAAAUUAGCGGAUGACUUGUGGCUGGGGGUGAAAGGCCAAUCAAACCGGGAGAUAGCUGGUUCUCCCCGAAAGCUAUUUAGGUAGCGCCUCGUGAAUUCAUCUCCGGGGGUAGAGCACUGUUUCGGCAAGGGGGUCAUCCCGACUUACCAACCCGAUGCAAACUGCGAAUACCGGAGAAUGUUAUCACGGGAGACACACGGCGGGUGCUAACGUCCGUCGUGAAGAGGGAAACAACCCAGACCGCCAGCUAAGGUCCCAAAGUCAUGGUUAAGUGGGAAACGAUGUGGGAAGGCCCAGACAGCCAGGAUGUUGGCUUAGAAGCAGCCAUCAUUUAAAGAAAGCGUAAUAGCUCACUGGUCGAGUCGGCCUGCGCGGAAGAUGUAACGGGGCUAAACCAUGCACCGAAGCUGCGGCAGCGACACUAUGUGUUGUUGGGUAGGGGAGCGUUCUGUAAGCCUGUGAAGGUGUGCUGUGAGG
rnacentral:rRNA from 1 species